AGGAGCUCAAAGCAAUUUUCCAACUCGAUCAUCUCAACAUUUGUCCUGCUAACUAACUUGAGCCACCCUUCCGCACAAGAAGGCGAUGAUGUAGAUUAACUGCCCGAGGCUUUCUGAGUGCUGCAGGAAGAGCUUCCAAGGGGCUGUUUCCAUGCUAUCAGGUCACUGAGAAAGCAAAUCGAACAAGAACCAUAAAGUAGGAAUAGACAUUUGAAGAGCAAAAUGGAUGUAGCUGUGGAAAUGGAAGGAGAGGGGCCAUGAUUCCUUCUUAUCACUUGGUCCGUAGAAGAGGAGGAGACCAGAGGAAACUUUCUUUACCUCGAAUUCCACAAAGGAACACAUCAUCACUGACCGUGCGGCCUGAAGCGGAGCUGCAUCUGAUGGAAGAAACUCUUCUACAGUUCUUUUGUGUACCGGGGAAAGCCUUACUUCCUAAUUGAGAUAUUCAGACUUCCCAGAAGUUUUUUUUGAAAAUGGAACUUGUUCUUGAUUUAUAGGUGGCACGGUAGUCAGCGCUCAUAACCGCUUUCAUUUUAGACAGGGUAAGUUUUCUUCUCCAGACACCUCAAAGGAACAUAUCAAAUCUCCUGAAUGAGAAGUCAACCCUCUUUGCUGGGUUUCCAAGAGGUGCAUACGGUAACUAAGGAUUUGAGAGAAAAGAUGCUGCAUCAUUCAAUUAAUUUCAGUUUUGCCAUGCAGAGGCCGAGGGUAGCUCUGAUCAAUACGGACUAGUCGGCUUGCUAACAUAAAGCACAUUUCAUACAAAGCCAAACAUUUUUCUCCUUGUUGUACAGAAUUAUCUUAAUUAUUGUUUCAAGGAACAGCCUUAUAUAGAAUAAUCUGGUAGUCCAAAAUGCUGCUCAGAAACUCAUCACUGGAAUAAUUUAUGAUUUUUCUUUCUAACAUCUUGGGCUUGUUUGAUAUGCUUGCCAUUUCUCGCUGACAGGGAGGUCGAUUAAAUCACAUUUAUAUUGUAAA